UCAAGCUAAUAAGAGCGCAAGGGGAAUGCCUUGGCAUCAGGAGCCGACGAAGGACGUGACAAGCUGCGAUAAGCUUCGGGGAGCUGCAAAUGAGCAUUGAUCCGGAGAUUUCCGAAUGGGGAAACCCACAUAGGCAAUACCUAUGUACCGUGCAUUGAAUAAAAUAGGUGUACGGAGGGAACGCCCUGAACUGAAACAUCUAAGUAGGGGCAGGAAAAGACAUCAACCGAGAUUCCGCAAGUAGUGGCGAGCGAACGCGGAGGAGGCCAAACCAGAGGUCAUUGAUCUCUGGGGUUAGGACUUGCAUCACGAUCAGAGGUAUCUAGCGGAACGGCAUGGGAAGGCCGACCACAGAGUGUGAGAGUCACGUACGCGAAAGAGAAGACUGACAGCGAGUAUCCAGAGUACCGCCGGACACGUGAAACCCGGUGGGAACACGGGUGGACCACCAUCCAAGCCUAAAUACUACCUGAUGACCGAUAGAGAAGCAGUACCGUGAGGGAAAGGUGAAAAGAACCCCGGGAGGGGAGUGAAAUAGUACCUGAAACCUUGUGCUUACAAGCAGAUAGAGCACGUUAAAGUGUGAUAUCGUACCUUUUGUAGAAUGGUCCGGCGAGUUAUAGUCACUGGCGAGGUUAAGUUAUUCAGUAACGGAGCCGAAGGGAAACCGAGUCUUAAUAGGGCGUCGAGUCAGUGGCCAUAGACCUGAAACCGGGUGACCUAUCCAUGAGCAGGCUGAAGGUGAGGUAAAACUCACUGGAGGGCCGAACCCACGUUCGUUGCAAUGACCGGGGAUGACUUGUGGAUAGCGGAGAAAUUCCAAUCGAACUCGGAGAUAGCUGGUUCUCCCCGAAAUAGCUUUAGGGCUAGCGUUAUGUUAGAUUACCGGAGGUAGAGCACUGAAUAGGCUAGGGGGCGAUGAGCUUACUGAACCUUAUCAAACUUCGAAUGCCGGAUAAUUGAUGCAUAGCAGUCAGACAGUGUGAGAUAAGUUUCAUUGUCGAAAGGGAAACAGCCCAGACCCACAGCUAAGGUCCCAAAUAUAUGCUAAGUGGAAAACGAUGUGGGGUUGCGAAAACAACCAGGAUGUUGGCUUAGAGGCAGCCACUCAUUAAAAGAGUGCGUAAUAGCUCACUGGUCGAGUGACCCUGCGCGGAAAAUGUAACGGGGCUAAGCAUAUAACCGAAGCUUGGGAUAUCCAAUGGAUAUGGUAGGGGAGCGUCGAAUACGGGGCGAAGUCGUAGCGGAAGCAACGGUGGACUGUAUUCGAGUGAGAAUGCCGGAAUGAGUAGCGAGAAUUAUGUGGGAAUCAUAAUGGCCGAAAAUCUAAGGUUUCUUGGGGAAGGUUCGUCCGCCCAAGGUAAGCCGGGAGCUAAGGCGAGGCCGAAAGGCGUAGUCGAUGCACACACGGUAGAAAUUCCGUGGCCGCCGAAAGUGUUAAGCACAGGGACACAUAGAGAUAGCCGGACCGGGGCGUUGGUUGACCCCGCUGAAAGGGCCCGUAAAUGAUCGGGGAGUCGGCGAUGCUCUGUGGCGAGAAAAGCUGUGUGUAUUACUAAGGCGCCCGUACCGCAAACCGACACAGGUAGAUGAGGAGAGAAUCCUAAGGCCAACGGGAGAAGGGUUGUUAAGGAACUCGGCAAAUUGACCCCGUAACUUCGGGAUAAGGGGAGCCGGCCACGGCCGGCCGCAGUGAAUAGGCCCAAGCAACUGUUUACCAAAAACACAGGUCUCUGCUAAAUCGAAAGAUGACGUAUAGGGGCUGACGCCUGCCCGGUGCCGGAAGGUUAAGAGGAGAGCUUAGCGCAAGCGAAGGUUUGAAUUGAAGCCCCGGUAAACGGCGGCCGUAACUAUAACGGUCCUAAGGUAGCGAAAUUCCUUGUCAG
rnacentral:rRNA from 1 species